rnacentral:lncRNA from 1 species
AGACUCGAUACUACUUUACAUGACUAAUAAUGAAAAGACAAUAUGAAUGACAGACUCAAAACAUAAUAAGCAGCUCCUAGAUGUAGUGGUCCUGGGGUUGUCAUGCUCAAACUCUAGCAAAUUGCUCCAUAACUGAAUGGGAAAAAUAUGGUCAAAUAGAGUUAGUGACUCAAGACAUAUGUGACGCCACAACACCUUCUUUUAGACACAUGCAAGGCAAGAUUAAGGUUAUUUUUUUCCAAAUGACCUACGUAGCCAAGAUAUGGCUAUUAGCGCAAGCUCAACGAAGAUGACCCCAAAGACAUGGAUAACCCCCUAAGACUUAUAUGGAUUCAAACUCUCAAUAAUUAUGACCUUAAGAAUUACUUUUGCAAAAAUGACUCAUUUUGCAAAAAUGGCCUAUAUGGCCAGAAAUGGCUAAAGAUGCAAACUUAAAAAGGAAAGACCAUAAAGUAAUAUGACACCUAGUUGUAGUCUCAAAAUCCUAAGAUAUGGGUUAUCGAACCACUUUUGCAAAAAUGAUCACAUUUUGCAAGAAUGACCGAUGUGGCCAAAAGUGGCUAGACAUACAAGAUUUUGGCUAAGACCCCGCGGAGCCAAGAACCUAAGACUUACUAGGAAGAUCGAACUCUAUGUGGGUCGCCUACGUAUCCCGUCCCGAGAGACGAGAAUUAGGUUCGCGUAGUUCGGGAAGAUUGGAUAUGGGAGAAAGCCUUUUAAAAUUGCAACUAAUUUGAAAAAUACAUAUUUUUUGUCUUUUUGAGAAAUGAUGUAAAUCAUUUUUGGAUUUUCUUUUUCUCUUUUUUUUCGAAUUUUGAAAAAUAGAAAAAGUGUAAAAUCUUUUUGGAUUUUCCUUCUUUUUUUUUUUUGAAUUUUUGGAAAAUAAUAGAGAAGUGUAAAAUCUUUCUUUUUUUGGAUUUUCUCAUUUUUUUUUUAAUUUUUGGGAAAUAAUAGAAGGGCAAAAUCUUUUUGAAUUUUCUAUUUUUAUUUUUUGUGAAUUUAUGGGAAAAAGAUGGCAAAGUGUAAAUUUUCUUCUUAUUUUCUAUUUUCAUUUUUUGAAUUUUUGAAAAAUGAUGGAAAAGUGUAAAAUAUUUUUUGAUUUUCAAAUUUUCAAUUUUCUUUUUAUUUUUGAAAGACUAUGAAAAAAAAAUGCGAGUGAGCCCUACUUGCUUCAUUUUCAUCCUUCUUUCCCAAACAUCGGUCCGUCAAAUAACCUUUUUACUCUCAAAGAUGCAAAAUUUAUCACAUAGGAUGAUUGAAUGUCAUUUUGGACCAGGGGCCCAUUUUGACAAAAUUUGGACAGCCUCCUUACAAAGGGACACGGUACCUGGGAUCGAGCCCUACUAGGUGUGAAUGACAUGGUGCGAAUAAAAUGACCUAAAGGCUGAUCUAAGUUUGGGGUUCACUAACAAGGAAAUUCGGGGGAGCGUAUGGUCGAUAGUGGCUUCUCAAGAUUUCACUCACUCCAUACGUACGCCCCCCUCCUAAAUUAAGGGUGACUGAACAAAGAGUCCGUGCACGCGACGCAUGCUCUGAGACUUGUUGCAGAAAGAAUUGACCGGGUAAUGCAUAUGAUAAGUUGAUAACAGUUAUAAAGCAGUAAACACGUAAAGCAAAACUGUAAACACAUAGACAACUAGCAAAUAAUAAUAUAAAAACAUAAUAAAAAUUAAGCAAAGCUAAUGAAAAGCAUAAAAGAAAACUCAACCAAAUAUUCUAAAAGCCAACAAAAUCAAGUACUAGCUCGAACCCGCGAGUCUCCCCAGCAGAGUCGCCAGAGAUGUCACACCCCCUUUAUUAAACAAACUCUUUAAUUAACCCUCUUAAAUAAAUAAAAAGAUUUAAUAAAAGCUUAAAAAGGGGUUUUCAGUUGAAAUGUGACAUUUUAUUUCAAAAGAAAAAUAACUAGAUUCGCCACCUGACAUUUGAUUUCGGUGUGCCACGUCACCAUUUUUUUUCAAAAAUAAUAAUUUUCCUUUUAAAACGUAUCAGACUCUAAAACCACGUCUCCACCAGAGAUCCAGGUAAGGGGAUUCAUUUGACUCGGGGAGAAGGUGUUAGGCACUCCCCAAGUCCCGCAACUAGUGCAGUUGCGUACUCAAUCAAGUUGGCUUUUAGAAUAUUCAAUUGAGGUAGAAAACAUAGAAAGGGCAAAAUAAACACAUACGAAGCUCGAGGUCGUCCUCAUCUAGUAAAAAAAAAUAAAAAGGAAAAGAAUAGAAAAAUCCUAAGCUAACCUACACUACGUCUUCUCCACCAUGCUCGUCAAAGCCUCCAAAAUAUUUACAUAGUUCUUCGGGGCAUACCCCGGAUAAUAAUAUUUACAAACUUCAUGGGGCAUUCGCCGGGAUAAAUUCAACUACGGGAACGACCUCUCGCUUCAAAACUAACAAAAAUUCUAAAGUUCAACAAUUAGUUGAAUAAAGUAAUCAAAUGAUUAAUCCCAAUUAUUACGGUGAGGUUUACUAAAUAUAUUCUCGGCCAAUGAUUCAAUUGUCUCAAAGAAUAUUAAUCAUACAAAUUAAUUCAACCUAACCACACGAAAUGAUUGCAGUAAUUAAUUACGGAAACACUGAAUUCCUACAUCAACUUCUCUCAGCAUUACAAAUCCAUUUAAGCUCUGAAGUGACGAACAUAGCAAAAUGUAAAGCAAAUUGCAAACUCAGAUGAAAUUCUGUUAUAAGAAUGCAUUCACGAAAGAUAGCACAAAUUAACUCACACCAAAACAUAUAUGAACAGAUUUGAAGUAUCGGAUUUAGAAACGGACCUCAAAUUAGCAAACUUCUUUUAAUAUAUGAAUUUGAUUACAUUUAACUAUGGCGAACCGAGCCUGAACCAUAGAUAUGACCUGGUGACAGAUCGAUGGCAACUCGGACGGCACCAACCUCGACUCAUACACAACUCCACCGGUUGCAAACUGAAGACUCGCCGGUGACGAAAUCCAGCUAAAUAGCGACAAGCAAAUUUUAAAAGGCCAAACAAAGGCUGAGAAUAAAUACGGUGAGUCCAGCUACCAAUUGAGAUGAAAACAUCAACUAACAGCAGUCCGAAAUCGGAGGAAGAAAUUUCGAAGCCCAUAUCGCUUCGAAAUCAGCAGCGAACCAACACAGCUGACACAACAAUGACGCCGGAAAUGUCGGACCAAACCAAGCGAACUCCAGCGAUAAAUUCAAACCACCCUCAAACUCAAUCGACUAAUCAAACAAUGAGAAUCCAAGCGAUGAAGCAGAAAUUAUUUCGAAUCCACAACAGAAACAAUUUCGAAUCCAAACAGUUUCAAUUUUGCAUUGUUUUCAUAUCUGAUUUUUGGAAUUUGAGUACUACUUUCUUAAGCUGAGAAAUUCUAUUCUGCCUUUGGGGUGUCGGAGAAAGUUGCAGAUCAAGAUCUUUUUUCUUAGGUUAUUCCUUCUAUAAAUAAAUAGAGGAGGAAUCAAACAAAGAGAAUAUUCAAAAGGGGUGAGAGAAAAGUCCAAGAAAAAAAAGAGAAAUCAGAAAGGAAACUUGUUGAAGCUGAACAAGUGUGGAAUGAGCUUUGAGUGUCUUCUAUUUUUAUGGGAUUUCGGAGCUUUUUAGUAAAGGAGAUUUUUAGUGUCUGAGAGCUUAGGAAGAAGAAAAGAGACGGAACCACGCUCCGGUUAUUGAGAACGACGGGUUUGGUUGAGUGGAGUGACGAUGGUGGUGAGUUUUGGUCUAGGGUUGGGUGCAAAGGUCUAGGGUUGGGUGCUUAGCUUUUUGCAGCCAUUGUGUUUCUAGGUCUAGGGUUUUUGUUACGAAGAAUGAAUAGUCUGAUGGUCUUUU